UGGCAUCAUUAUGCAUCUCUUGAUGGAUUGUUCAAGUCAAGAAAGCAUCAUAAUUUGUUGCAUAUAUACGGAAAUGUUUUUUUGUUGGUCACAUUUGGCUGUAAUUCCAUAGUUCUUGAUAUGAUAUCGACCUGUGUAAGCAGCAAGAAAGAAACUUGUCUGAGCUAUGAUCAUUUACCAUGAUAUGGAACAACAUGAUCCUUCGUGGGAAAAUCAAGCCAUUGUCUAUUGAUCAAAAAACCCUAGCAGGAAGAAGAAUUGGAUGUGCUCCUGCC
rnacentral:lncRNA from 1 species